GAGUUUGAUCCUGGCUCAGGAUGAACGCUGGCGGCGUGCUUAACACAUGCAAGUCGAACGGGAAGCGGUGCGUUUUUGCUUAGGUAAGAACGUGCUGUGGAGAGUGGCGAACGGGUGCGUAACACGUAGGUAACCUGCCCUGAAAAGGGGGAUAACCACGGGAAACCCGGAGUAAUGCCGGAUACACUCCCAAUAUCGAAUGAUAUAUGAGAAAAUGCCUUUGCGCUUCAGGAUGGGCUCACGGCCUAUCAGCUAGUUGGUGAGGUAACGGCCCACCAAGGCGACGACGGGUAGCUGGUCUGAGAGGACGAUCAGCCACACUGGGACUGAGACACGGCCCAGACUCCUACGGGAGGCAGCAGCAGGGAAUAUUGCGCAAUGGGCGAAAGCCUGACGCAGCGACGCCGCGUGGGGGAUGAAGGCCUUCGGGUUGUAAACCCCUUUCAGGAGGAAAGAAAUUGACGGUACCUCCAAAAGAAGCCCCGGCCAACUACGUGCCAGCAGCCGCGGUAAGACGUAGGGGGCGAGCGUUGUCCGGAAUCAUUGGGCGUAAAGGGCUCGUAGGCGGCUCGGUAAGUCGAUCGUGAAAUCCCGGAGCUCAACUCCGGAACUGCGUUCGAUACUGCCGUGGCUAGAGUCAGGUAGAGGAGAGUAGAAUUCCCGGUGUAGCGGUGGAAUGCGCAGAUAUCGGGAGGAAUACCAUUUAGCGAAGGCGGCUCUCUGGGCCUGUACUGACGCUGAGGAGCGAAAGCGUGGGUAGCAAACAGGAUUAGAUACCCUGGUAGUC
rnacentral:rRNA from 1 species